AAUCCUUGUCAUUCCUCUCCUUCACUGGAAGCCUAACUACCACCCAUUUCAAUCAUCAAUCACAAACCAAUAUGUUGUUUCAUUGAUCUCCGAUCAGCCAGCCGACAAAGACCGAUAACCUUGGGUGGUUGAUGAAUGGUGGAUGACAUAUGGAACCAGCGCUCCAAAUCUACAACAGUUGGCUAUAUGAGUGUUAAGUCAAACUUGUAGUUCUUCGAGAUGUGAGAGAAAUUGGAGUAUGUUUGAACAUAUUCACUCCAAGAAGAGAAAUAGAUUAGAGUAUCAAAGGCUUAAUGACCUUGUUUACGUCAACUGCAAUCUAAGAUUGAAACAAAAGUAUUUUUAUUUUCUCUAAUUCCUUAAAUAUUAUUUUAUCUUGUUUAGUAGCA